ACAAUACUUUCAUAUUCUUAUCCGUUCAUCUUCCUUUUGCUCUCUUUGUGAUUUAUAUACAUUCAAUUACUGAUCUCUAGCUUAUCUAUUGUAUUCAGUUUCUCAAUUCAUCACAUAAAAUUCAAUAUCUCGGCUUACGACUGUCACAGUUUGGCACUUUAGACUAACUUCUCAAUAUUCAAAAACUAUCCAUUACUAGUCAACAACAAAGAAACAAAAAGAGGUAGCACCAAGCUUGCCCUGACUUAUGACUAUCACAGUGUGGCCCCAAUCCCCCUUUUUUUAACCUCUUUAUCCUACCAAAAG
rnacentral:lncRNA from 1 species